GAAACAUCGGAAAUACAGUAAGACCUUGGUUUGAGAGCAUAAUAUGUUCCAGAAACAUGCUUGCAAUCCAAAGCACUUGUAUAUCAAAGUGAAUUUCAAGAACCAAUGGGCUCAGUUGUAAUCAUGUGACGUUGUGGCGUCCUGUACUAUUCAUAUUGCAAGACAUCACUCUUUUAUCAAGUUAAACUUUAUCAGAAAUGUUUGCUCACCUUGUGGAACAAGUCACUAGCAAUCCAAGGUUUUACUGUAUAUUUAUUUGCACCGUGCACUUGAGCUAGAAACUGACAAGUCCUUACAUGAGCCUCUUCGUUUCAAUAGAGGCCACCGCCUAUGGCCUUCUGCCAUGUGAGGGAACCUUGAAGUUCAUCACAGAGGGCUCCAAACAGCCCUGUAAAAUUCUGCCUUCCUCCCCAGACACUUGGUGUAUAAGCCGUCUGAGCACGCGAUGCAGAAGGUGAUGGCCUGACCCUGAGACCUUGUUCAUGGGUAAGAGUACAGCCUGGGCACAGGGUCACAGAACCCUGUUUCUUAACCUGAAAAUGCCCCCAUAUAAAGAGAGACACGUGUCCACUAAGAAAUCUGCACAAUCUGCUCAAUUACCUACGGGAAGGUGUCGGCCGGACAUCUGCGUGAACUCAGUGCCUGAACAGCUUCCCGCAUCCCAACGGGCUCGGCCACAGGGGUCUCAAACUCUGCCCGUCCUCGGUCCCCAUGUCCUCUUACUGACCGACCACUCAAAGUGGGAAUUUCUUCCCUGGGUACAUACAACACGAAGACACACGUAGUCACAACACAGUCUCCGAGAAAUGGGAACCACAGGCCAGCCCCGCCCUCAUUCUGACGGGAGACAUCUCCUGUGUUAUUAUUUUCUUGAAAAAUCUCUGAAGACGCACAGACACCCCAAUCACUGUGAAGUCUGGAGCCCUCGCCUGCCUCCCUCAGCUUUGGUGAGAGACACAGGGAGACAGAAGGAGUUUUAAUAAGAACAUGGCCAGGCGAUGCAGUGAUGUCAAAGGGGAAUAGAUUAAGAAAGCAUCAUUCAACUUGACAAUGGAUUCAUUUCAAUCAACAUUUACUGACAAACAUCUUGCUCUAAACCAACUACAUAAUUUGUGGGGCCAGUACAAAAUGAAAAUACAGUCUCUCCAAGUUUUACUAAGGAUUUCAAGACUGCAACGCCCACGGAACGGGCCCUGAAUUUUGGUCACAGGUACCAGUACAAACACCUGUAUCCUGCUUUCAAGCAACUGAGGAAAAAAAAAAAAAAAAAAAAAAAACAGAAAAGCAAAAGCCUCAGUAAUCACUUUUCAGAGCAGGAAGAGAUGAACGCAUUUGGGUCCAUCUUUCCAAUCCUGGAAGAUCUUUCAAUUGGGCAAUCUAGGGAAACUUCCAUGAGAAAGAAGCUUCUGAAUUAGAGUUUGAAGAAUCCAAAGCAAUGAAGACACGGCCAAUGCAGAAAAAGAUAUUGCUGGCAGACGGGAAAAAGCAAAACAUAAAAUAAAAUAAAGAUUUCUGAAGGGGUCAAGA